GAUGAACGCUAGCUACAGGCUUAACACAUGCAAGUCGAGGGGCAGCAUGGUCUUAGCUUACUAAGGCCGAUGGCGACCGGCGCACGGGUGAGUAACACGUAUCCAACCUGCCGUCUACUCUUGGACAGCCUUCUGAAAGGAAGAUUAAUACAAGAUGGCAUCAUGAGUCCGCAUGUUCACAUGAUUAAAGGUAUUCCGGUAGACGAUGGGGAUGCGUUCCAUUAGAUAGUAGGCGGGGUAACGGCCCACCUAGUCUUUGAUGGAUAGGGGUUCUGAGAGGAAGGUCCCCCACAUUGGAACUGAGACACGGUCCAAACUCCUACGGGAGGCAGCAGUGAGGAAUAUUGGUCAAAUGGGCGAGAGCCUGAACCAGCCAAGUAGCGUGAAGGAUGACUGCCCUAUGGGUUGUAAACUUCUUUUAUAAAGGAAUAAAGUCGGGUAUGGAUACCCGUUUGCAUGUACUUAUGAAUAAGGAUCGGCUAACUCGUGCCAGCAG
rnacentral:rRNA from 1 species